rnacentral:rRNA from 1 species
GAUGAACGCUAGCUACAGGCUUAACACAUGCAAGUCGAGGGGCAGCACGAAGAUAGCUUGCUAUCUUGGGUGGCGACCGGCGCACUGGUGAGUAACGCGUAUCCAACCUGCCCAUUACUCAUGGAUAGCCUUGCGAAAGUAAGAUUAAUACCCGAUGUUAGUUUGAUUGCCGCAUGACGAUCAAACCAAAGAUUUAUUGGUAAUGGAUGGGGAUGCGUGACAUUAGGUAGUAGGUGAGGUAACGGCUCACCUAGCCAACGAUGUCUAGGGGUUCUGAGAGGAAGGUCCCCCACACUGGAACUGAGACACGGUCCAG